GUGCUCGUUUCUGCAGCACAUAUACUAAAAUCGGGAUGAUACAGAGAAGAUUACUAUGGUCCCUGUGCAAGGAUUAAGUGCAAACUGGUGAACCCUUUCAUAUUUUU